rnacentral:rRNA from 1 species
UGGGGAAUAUUGCACAAUGGGGGAAACCCUGAUGCAGCGACGCCGCGUGGGGGAUGACGGCCUUCGGGUUGUAAACCUCUUUCAGUAGGGAAGAAGCCUUCGGGUGACGGUACCUGCAGAAGAAGUACCGGCUAACUACGUGCCAGCAGCCGCGGUAAUACGUAGGAUACAAGCGUUGUCCGGAAUUAUUGGGCGUAAAGAGCUCGUAGGUGGUCUGUCACGUCUGCUGUGGAAACGCAAGGCUCAACCUUGCGCGUGCAGUGGGUACGGGCGGACUAGAGUGCAGUAGGGGAGUCUGGAAUUCCUGGUGUAGCGGUGAAAUGCGCAGAUAUCAGGAGGAACACCGGUGGCGAAGGCGGGACUCUGGGCUGUAACUGACGCUGAGGAGCGAAAGCAUGGGGAGCGAACA